GAUAAUUUUCAUAGUCGAGAGGGAAACAACCCAGAUCCGCAGCUAAGGUCCCAAAGUAUAGUUAAGUGGAGAAGGAUGUGGAGCUGCUUAGACAACCAGGAUGUUGGCUUAGAAGCAGCCAUUCAUUGAAAGAGUGCGUAAUAGCUCACUGGUCGAGUGGCUCUGCGCCGAAAAUUUAACGGGGCUAAACUAUACACCGAAGCUCGGGAAUGCGUAAGCAUUGGUAGGAGAGCGUUCUAUGCGGGGUGAAGUCGCAGCGUAAGCGGCGGUGGACUGCAUAGAAGUGAGAAUGCCGGAAUGAGUAGCGAGAAUUAUGUGAGAAUCAUAAUGGCCGAAUGACUAAGGAUUCAGAAGGAAGGUUCGUCCGCUUCUGGUUAGCCGGGAGCUAAGGCGAGGCCGAAAGGCGUAGUCGAUGCACAUACGGUAGAGAUUCCGUAGCCAUCUGCAAUUUAAGCAAGGGGACACUUGAGAAGUGUAGUAACGGGGCGUUGGUUGACCUCGUUAGUGCGCGGAUUGAGGCGAGAAAAGCCUUGUGUAUAGAGCAGAUGCCCGUACCGCAAACCGACACAGGUAGUCAGGAUGAAGAUUCUAAGGCCAACGGGAGAAAGGUAGUUAAGGAACUCGGCAAAUUGGCCCCGUAACUUCGGGAUAAGGGGCGGUGCUUCAAGCACCCGCAGUGAAUAGGCCCAGGCGACUGUUUAUCAAAAACACAGCUCUCUGCUAAAUCGAAAGAUGACGUAUAGGGGGUGACGCCUGCCCGGUGCCGGAAGGUUAAGAGGAAGGGUGAAAGCUCUGAAUUGAAGCCCCGGUAAACGGCGGCCGUAACUAUAACGGUCCUAAGGUAGCGAAAUUCCUCGUCGGGUAAGUUCCGACCUGCACGAAUGGCGUAACGAUCUGGGCACUGUCUCAACUACCUACCCGGCGAAAUUGUAGUACCGGUGAAGAUGCCGGUUACCCGCGGCAAGACGGAAAGACCCCAUGGAGCUUUACUGUAGCUUGAUAUUGGACUUUGGUAUUCUAUGUACAGGAUAGGCGGGAGACUGGGAAGCGCAGACGCCAGUCUGCGUGGAGUCGCCCUUGGGAUACCGCUCUUAGAGUACUGAAGUUCUAACCUGCGGCCGUUAUCCGGUCGGGGGACAUUGUCAGGUGGGCAGUUUGACUGGGGCGGUCGCCUCCUAAAAGGUAACGGAGGCGCUCAAAGGU
rnacentral:rRNA from 1 species